rnacentral:lncRNA from 1 species
GUCCUCGCCCCUGCUCUCCCUCGCUAGCUCCUCCCCUUAGACUCUUCCUCCCCUCUCCGGACCCUGCGCCACCAUCGGAGCGGCCAACUGCAGCGGCCCCGAUGCCCGCGCCGCCAUGCCAAGGCUGCCGUCCCUCUGCUCGUCGUCACACCACCUCCAGAAAGCGCAUCUACCCUCUGCUAGCCAAUAUUGGGCAGUGCCCCUAACGCUACUGACUUUGACAGGGGUUGCUUUAGCCGCUACACAAACCGUUGAUGCUUCGGUCUUCGUCGUUGCCAGCACCUGUUGCACAAUCCACCACCUGACUUCCAUCCUACUUAUCUGUUUUGUACGGUUGUCCCGAGAAGUACCCCGAUGACCGACGCCCGCACCACCAUGUAUUCUUGGUUGCAAGACCCCAAAACCAUGACCACCACAAUGAUGCACAAGUACCUCUGUCGACGGCCAUGAACAUGUACCACUACAUGUAAUACUUGCGUCAACGACCCGCAAUAGAUGCUACAUCAAACUCGAUGCGCUCCGAGAUGCAUGCUUUGAAGGUAUACUGCCAAGGCGAUGCCCAUGGAUGAAUGCAUUGUUGUAUGUGAUGCAAUGUUGUUAUGUUUUGUAGAUGUAAUGUUAGUUGCAUGUACCUUCAUAUUCUUGCCUCCGCACAUGGGAACCCGGUAACCGGGAUCACCCAAUCAUUCUUUGGCAUGACAUUCUCACAC